AUAUCGAUCCAUUGCUUUUAAUUGAGAUGAACGAUUGGUCUGGAUUGUUUGUUGAUGUUUGUGUAGUAAAAUGUUGUUGGAUUGUGUGGAGAAAGAAUCUAAGUGUAGGAAAUCAUGGAGAGGGGCGAGGGCUAGAAUUUCAGAACUGAGGCCUUGGAAGACACAAGGCCUCUUGAACACUUAGACUUUUCUUGUUAUUCUUUUCCCUAUUUUCCUAUAACAAUCCAGGACUGGAAUAAUUUCAUCUGUUUAUAAGUAAUACACUCCUCUCUAUUUUCCUUCAUAAUUUUUCAAGCACUGAACAUACAGAGAACCAUUAAAAACAUACCACUGAAAUAUUCUUCAAGUAACUUGUAUCACCCCAUAUAUAGUUAAUACUUUGUAACAUGACUAAAAGAUUAUACUUAAUGCCACAUCAUGAUAUUCUCUCAACAUUUAUGUAGUGAACAAAUAACAUAGUAGCCACUAGCCAUAUAUAAUGUACAAAACUAAGUUCAACAACAGAGAAGAGUAUAGCUUUACUUUUUCACUUCUUUUUUUCACUUCUUUUAUCAUGUGUACAAAUCAAAGAAUAUUUUGAUACUGACAACAAAUAAAUUGACAACAAAUAAAUAGGCAGAACAUGGCUACUAGUGAGAAUAUAAUCACACAUUGUUUCAUCAAUCAUCUAAACAAUGUGGCAAAUAGGAAACAUGUAUAAGCAUAGUUGACACAAUAUAUAUUGAUAUUAACUUCAUAUCAAUAAAUAUACCUAUAAAGAAAAUCCAUCUCCCGAACUUCCUUUAGUAUCAACACUUUCUGUUAUGGAAACAUGUUGCUAUACAUAUAUGAUUCUCAGAUAAUGUGGAAAUAGCAUUUAACAUUAAAAAAAAAUCCAAUCUAAUUCAUUCUAAUCGAAUAUACCACAUCAAAAGUACUCAGUGGAAGAAAGCCUACAAAAAGAAACCAAACCUUGAUUCCUUGGAACAGAUAAAUAUUUCUGGCAUGAAUGCUCAUAUAAUAUUUCUCCAAAGAACCCUUUUGCUGCCCCAUCCGAUUUUGCAAUUAAGCCACUGAGAUGGAGAGUGAAAAAUGCUUGCUUACUAAGCACUUUACCUACACUUCUUUCACCUUCCACAAAGCCAACCACGCAACAAUCCGAAUAAACUUGCUCAGCGCCCAAAUUUUUGCAGCAUCAUAGAGCUUGAUCCCCUUAGUUUCCAUUCUCCUGAAACAAGAAGAAUACUUAAUAUUAAGUUGGGAGACCAGAACCAGAGCUCCGGUCACAGAAAAACAGAAAUUAAAAAGAGAAAACUGUCUGAAUGAGAAGCGAGCAUACAUAAUUACUGAUAACCAAGAAACAUACUCACAUACUCAUAAAUUGCUUUUCUCAGUGUGUUUAUGGAUUGUUAUGUUAUUGUGUAUGAUGAGUCAAUUGUGUUGUGUUAUUGUGUAUGUUUCAUGAUUGAAUUGAUUUGUAAUCUGAGUAUGGUAUGGCAGAAUCUUUUAAGCUCGUGAUUUACAUUUUGGAUUGAAAUGAGUCAAUUGCUUUUCAUUUAGUUCAUUUAUUUUGAAGUUGUCUGCAUAAUUUUUAAAUAUGUUAUACCGGCUGUCAAUUUGCCAAUUUUCAUUACAAAUGCUUGUUUGAUCUUUUCUUAUUGUGAGACUCUGCUUUUUUUUUUCUUGGUCUUAUUGUGAAUCAGUGAGUAUAUAGGCAUGGUGAUUUAAUAAGUGGUUGCUGAAAGCAUUUAAAAAAAUCAAGUAAUCAAGUAAGCGGUAGUUUUAGUUAAUUAAACUUAGCAUGAUAUAUAGCUUUUAAGUUUAAAGAAUAGGGGUUGAAAAUGAUGGGUUGUAGAGUAAAUUGGAGAGACAAAGAAGAAGGUAUGAAUCCAAUCCAAAACACAAGAAAAAGGAUUUUAUCUUAGUGGGCUUGGGUGUUUAGGAUAAUGUGGAGGAUAUUAAUAUUUUGUUCGAAGUUUGAUUAACAUGCAGUUGCAAUCUAUCAUAUUUUAUGAGUCAAUUCUAUCAGAAUUUUAUCUCCAAAGUGCAUCAAUCCCCAUCAUCUUGUUAUUAAUGAGAACAAACGGAAGAGAGGUAUGACAUUUUGUUCAAAGUGUACUGCUACUUUCCUGCUAAUAUUGUUGACUUUGGUUUGGUUCUAAAAAUUAUGAAAAAAGAAUAUAUUUAUUAUUUGUGAUGCUUCCGUGAUUGCAUUUCCAUGUCCUCUCUUCAUUACAACAUUAUGAUUAUGAUGAGUAUCAAGUGUAAGUGGUACUGGUACUGGUGCCUAGGGAUGGAGAUUGUUCUGUGGAACCUUUUUAGACAACUAGUGUGCAUGGUGAGGAUAUAACGGGGCAUUUUCUUCGCCCCCUUCUCACGCUCACCAGAUAACGUUCAAUUCAUAUAGGCAUGGAUUAUGAUAAAUUUAAAACCCAGCAGAAAGAGCAUACUAAUCAUAUGGAUGCUCUUGAAGAAAACUAUCUAUACGAUCGCCGGGUCAUGAAUUUGCUCUCUAAAGACAUUAGAGAGGAGAUGGAAAAAUUUCAGUGUAAGCAUUCCAAAAACUUAGAAGCUUUGAUGCAAGAAAAUGAGGAAGGGCUGUCAGUGUUGUCAGAGAAAGAAAUGUUGGAUAUGGAAAGGGAGAAAAUGGAUAAAACCUUCAAAAAGCUGAAAAUUUGUAGAAUGGAAAGAGAACCGAAGUUGGAGCGAAUGAAGGAUCAUAUUUCAGAGCUAGAAAUGGGUGUGGAAACGGUAUACAUGGAUAAUGAAGUUAUGAUCAGAGAUUUAUCCGAAAAGAUUGAAAACUUGGAGUAGGUAUGUGAUGUUUGUAAUUAGUCCUGAGUUAUUUGAUUUGCAAAUUUAUAGCUGCAAUGUAGGCUGAUUGAUUGGAGCUGGUUUGUAGGACAUUGCAUACUUGUUUGUUUUAUAAUUUGGCGUGAACUAGGCUUGGAUGUGUGGGAUCAUGAUUUGAUAUAUAGGCUGCAGUUAUUGGUAAUACACUAGUAUGGCCACCUAUCCACACACUUGACACCUUUGCACUUUGUCAUGGUGAUCUAGUGUAACCGUUUUACAAAUACAUACAUUUUCUGUGGUGGUAUAGUAUGGAAUAUGGAAUUUAAUUUGCAUUUGACCUGGUAUUAUAUAGGUGAAAUAUUAUCUUUCCUUUGCUGCAUAUUGAAUUUAUAUGUAUUUUCUGUAUUCUUUUAAUUUUUUUUGUGAGCAGAGGAGGGCUGAGGCUGCAUGGAUAUGGUGGAGUGUUCAAGUCAUGACUACGUUACUUUUAAUUACAUUUUAAUUGAAUUUAUAUGUAUUUUCUGUAUUUUUCAAUUUAUAGUCUUUGAUUUUGAACAAUGAUUACGAGUUGUUUAGUUUUUUUAACCAUGAGCAUGGUCUAAUAAAUAGUUUCUGUAUCACCAGCUUUUUUUUCC